rnacentral:rRNA from 1 species
ACCGCAAGGGGGGCGCUGCCGAAGGUGGGUCUAGCGAUUGGGGUGAAGUCGUAACAAGGUAGCCGUAUCGGAAGGUGCGGCUGGAUCACCUCCUUUCUAAGGAGA